GAUGAACGCUGGCGGCGUGCCUAAUACAUGCAAGUCGAGCGAACAGACGAGGAGCUUGCUCCUCUGACGUUAGCGGCGGACGGGUGAGUAACACGUGGAUAACCUACCUAUAAGACUGGGAUAACUUCGGGAAACCGGAGCUAAUACCGGAUAACAUGUUGAACCGCAUGGUUCAACAGUGAAAGACGGUCUUGCUGUCACUUAUAGAUGGAUCCGCGCCGCAUUAGCUAGUUGGUAAGGUAACGGCUUACCAAGGCAACGAUGCGUAGCCGACCUGAGAGGGUGAUCGGCCACACUGGAACUGAGACACGGUCCAGACUCCUACGGGAGGCAGCAGUAGGGAAUCUUCCGCAAUGGGCGAAAGCCUGACGGAGCAACGCCGCGUGAGUGAAGAAGGUCUUCGGAUCGUAAAGCUCUGUUAUUAGGGAAGAACAAAUGUGUAAGUAACUAUGCACGCCUUGACGGUACCUAAUCAGAAAGCCACGGCUAACUACGUG
rnacentral:rRNA from 1 species